GCAUGCUGUUAGAGCUUGUAAGGUAUAUGUGAUUUUACGAGUGUUGAAGUAUUGCAAAAGCAAAGGACGGGCACAAUUGCCAUGUGUUGGUAUUAUUGCUUCAAGUUAUUUGAAGCUGUAAUAUCAAUAAGCAUGUCUCGUGUGAAGUCCGACAAUU
rnacentral:snoRNA from 1 species